rnacentral:lncRNA from 1 species
GGUCUGCGAACACAGAAGCUCGGGUAAGGAAUUAUGUUAACCCAGGAAAAGGUGUGAGGCACUCCCGAGUUCCAUGAUUUUAGCACGGUCGCUCAACUAUUAAUAAUUGACCUAAUUAUCUAAUUUAUUACAUGUUUUAAACCUAUUAUGCAUUUUUAACUCUAUUGCCGCUUUUAUUUUUAUUUAUGAAAUUAUUUCUGGAACAAGUCAUGAUGUCGUACACUUGUCAUUUUGGUAUACGUUGCAAAUCGCGCCACAUGAAAUGCACCCGUAAUUUACGACAUGCUUAUUUUAUUAUUAUGAAGUUAUGGUCGGGUCACAUGAAAUGCACACCCGAAUUUGUAGGAUAUUAGGUCUUAUGUUUGAUAAACAAAAUCUGUUUUAAAACACGUCAUUGAAGUGGGGAAAAACAGAGUAGUAAUAACAUCUAUCAAUAAUAAAUGGAUAAAAAUAUAUAAUAAGAUCAUACAUAUACAGUUGUAAUAUCUAUUUUCUCUGCAAAUCUAAACAAUGCACAUCCAAACACUCAUAAAUCCACUCUUCAUACUAUACGGAGAAACUUGAGAAUCAUGAGUUCUAAACAGUCAUCAAAAUAAACUCGAUAGAUACUGAGGCUCAUCUCCCUCAUUUCCAAGUUUUGACAAACACAAAUCAAAGCCAUUGUGCAAUGUAGUUCAGCAACCAAAAAGAAACAUACAUGAAUCAAAUCGAAUAAUGAAACCAAACCUGCUAAAGCAAGAUUUGCUAGUCGCUCGCAACUCUUCACCCUCACAGAAGCACACUAACAUUGGGAUAUACUUGUAAAAUAAGAUUCAUUCACAAAUAACUUUCACACAUCACAAACAUGCUUGGCCCAAACAGACAUUUGUCAUCAGUUACACAUUUAACACUGAAAAAAAAGAUCUGUGGCUCUAAGCAUGAACAAGAAACUAACAAUCAACCACGAAGCUUAAUUCAUGGGUCAAUUUCCUUUUAGGCAGACCACUGUCACCUUGAGAAUUAGAAAGAUACGUAGCCUAGAUCAAUCUCUUGAUGCCCCAAUGAAUAUAAAUUCAGUUUGCAUUUCAAAUAAGGAAGGAAAUUUGCACGAAUUUACAAAGAAGCAGAUGUCACUAAACUUCAGUUUAUCCAGUGAGAUAAAUUGAUUCACAGAUUCGAUAAGGGAACAAGUUUAAGGACAAGCAAUUUUAAUUCACGAAUGGAUCUACAGAUGGAAUCACAUUUUUAUCCAAAGACAAAAGCAAAUCCAUCAAGACAGUGAUCAGAUUGACAAAAUUUCAGCAGACUAGAAACAAGCAAACACAAUAGAACCACUCUAAUUUCAAGAUUAACAUGGCGACAAUAGAGGUCAUGGUAUCUCAAUCAUUCAGAAUUCAGUUAGAGUAUGCCAGAUACUAAUGGUUUUCUUCCUUUUAGACUAACCAUGCACAUGAACUCUAAGCUUGAACAUGGUAAAUAUCGAUGAAUCGUGAUACUCACUCGACAAUGAAAUUUAACGCAAGUAGUCAAUUUAAAAACCAGCAGAGAAUAACACAUUGAAGCAACAUAUUGAAACACAAUAAGCCAAACGCCUCCAGCCAAUUUCAAAUUAAGCUUCAGUCUAGCUAAUCGAACUCCGGCUAAUCUCAAACAUAUCCAAACAGUGACGUCAAGACGUCAACAAAACGUCAUUUCUAAUAUCCCCGCAAGCACAAAUCUCAACCAAGAACUAAACUCCGGACUCGACCUCUACUGAACUUGAUCAAAGAAAACACCAUUCUAGAAACAAAUCCCUCAUGGCUCAAUGACACCUUAAAACAGAGAUACAGAAGAGAAAGAGAUUGAACCUGAACUGUAGCUUUCGAUUAACUUUCGGCUUUGAAUAUACAAUAGAAAUCGGGCAAUGAACCGGAAUCCGAACUGGAAAACAAAACAACGAGAAAUUGUGAACCUCGAACAGAUCUCUAAACAGCACCAGAAAAACUCGAAACCAACAGCAACUCAAUCGACUUCCAUUCUAGAAACAAAAUCCAGAAAAAAAUAAAAAAUGGAGAAACAGAGAUUUUUUUUUGAAGCAACAAUCGAACCAGGAAAAGCUCACCCUCUUUUUGUAUAUUUUUUUUAUGUGUGAAUAAACAGGAAACGAAAUCAGAAGGUGAAACAAAAUUUGAAAGAAAAACCCAAAACCUAGUUCUUUCUCCCUAUUUUCCUUUCCAAAAUUUCCUUAAAAAAAAAAUCCCCCCUUUGAAAAAUCCAAAAGACACCCCUAUAUAGGUCGAUUUCUGAGAAAUCGGAUGGUACUAAUCCGUUAUUUGUCAGGCCACGUGGAAGGGAUGAGAGGAUAGGCCAUGUGAUUGGUUAGGGGGAAAUUUUCCAAUGUUUUGAAAAAAUUUUAUUUUGUGUCUCACACACCUAUAUUAAUUGUAUGAGGCUUCUUUUUUGUCACACAGCCGUGUAGAUCCAAAUAUAUAAGAUGUGAGUCCACAAAUAUAUUAGAUAAAAAGAGGUAUGUGAGACCCAAAAUAAAAUCACUUUGAUGUUUUUGGUGGUCCUUUUGCGGCAGAGAGCUGAGGAGGGGUGGGGGUCUGCACCGUUUUGGGUUAUUCGGUUUUAGGGUUUAUGGGAGAUAGGUUAAGUUUUAUUUGGUAUGAGAAUUUGAUUGGGUUCAUUGGAUGAGUUGGGAUGGAGGGUUGAGAUUUAAAGAGGGAUGGGGCGGGUCUCAGGCAUACGGGUCGCGGGUUCUGGGUUUAAAUGAGAGGGGAGGGGUGUUGGGCUAAAGGUUAUCCAUAAUUGGGCCAAGUAGGGUGGGCUCAAAAUUGGACUCCCUUUCCUUCUCUUUUUCUUAAUUUUCUUUGAUUUUAAAUCCUAAUCUAAUUAAUUAAAAACCUAACAAAUUAACUAAAAUCCUUAAGUUAGAUUCUAAAUUAUAGAAUUAAAUUAAUAAUCUAUUUCUAAUAACAACAUAAUUAAUUAACUAAAGGCUAAUGAAAGAAAAUUACUAAUUUGCAACUAAAAGUUAAAGAUGUAAAAAUGGCCAAUAUUUUUUUUUAUUUAAUAAUGCGAUAAACUUAGGUAAUUAAAUCCUAAAUGCAAUUAUUAAUACCUAAAAUGCUAUGCAUAAUAUAUUUUAGACAUUUUUGGUAUUUUUCUCAUAAUUUUAAAAUAUUAAAUAUACAACUAAAUGCAAGCAACAAUUAACAAAAAAAUCCUAAAAAUUCUAUAAAAAUUAAAAUAGUUAGAAAAACCCUAUUUUGAAUUUGUAGGAGUAUUUUCCGUCGGGCAAAAAUCGCGUGCUCACAAUGAUAUGCCAAAAGUAACAAGUAAAAGUGAAAAUCUGUUUUUAGAAUACUGGGCAAGUAAAAGUGAACAGAAGGAGUAUCUUUAGUCUCGAUUUCUCGUGAUAUCAUGGCGUAUAGGUUUUUGUAGUUUAAUUGGUGAAGUGAAGUACAUUUUCUGAGAACUAAAUUGUUUGUGAGCAUUUUUAUUUCAAAAGUGCUGUCAGUUUAAAAUUUGUUUUUAUGUAAGAUAUUUUGUUAAUUUAUAUUAAAACUUCUUUUAAAUGUGUGAACUCAUAAGGAUUUUUUAUAUCAAAUCUUCUUUUAAUAUUUUGCCGGCACAGUCAACUCCGCAUUUCUAGGAGGAAAUUUGAUUUUACAUACACGUACGUAUCUAUUGACAGUUCUCAUUAUUAGUUUGGGUAAGCACUAACCAAAUAUUAAGUUUUCCAUGAAACUUCUAUAAUAGACUUCUAUUUUCCUUAUGCUUUGGUUAUGUUGAAUGCUAAUCUACAAUGGCUGCAAAUAUUAAGAGAUCUUUAUAUAUUUAUACUAUUUUAAAACUUAUUUAUUCUCUGUAUUAAAGUUUUAAUUUAAUUACAAGUUGAUAUAUAAUUUACCAAUUAUAUACAAAAUAAUAUCUUAGAAUCUAAUCUUUCUUAUUUUCUCUCUUCUUCUUCGUCCAACCUAGAAGCUUAAGAUAUGUGGCCCAGUAGUACCAACCUAGAAGCUUGCUACCUAUGAAGCCUAGGCUCAUAUUCCCUGCCCCUCAACAUUAAAGUUUUCUUCUAUGAGUAUGGACAUCCUAUUAGGCGAUUAAUGAUUGUUCAUUAAAGUUUUCUUCUAUGAGUAUGGACAUCCUAUUAGGCGAUUAAUGAUUGUUCAAAUGAAAACUAUUUGAACGCCAGUGAUAAUCUGUUAGCUUGCUAAUGAAAGUUCCUAUUUUUUUGGGACAAUUUUAGCAUUUGAACGUAAUUGAUAUUGUGAAACUCCAUUGACAACCAUUAAAAUGCUUUGAAGAUUUGAAUUCGAAAAUUGAAUUUUGUAAAAUUAAUAUUUAUUUAGAUUGGGUGUUAUUGCAAAUGAUUGGGAAUAUUCUUUGAUUUUAUAUCUCAAUUUUGAGAAAGUUUGGUAAAGAUUCAAGGUGAUUGUGGUUAAAAUUUCAGAUUAAAACUCAAAGAAGAAGAUAUAAAUAAAUUGUAUAUAUUUUGUAUGUCGAGUGUAAUAACAACAUACAUAAUAUAUACAACUAACAUAAUUGUAUACAAGGUGUAUAUAAAUUCUAAUUUUUGACUGAAUUCUGUGGAAAAAGUUGUAUUUUAAUUUGUAGAUAAAUUGUAGAUUGUGACCGGUUUUGUAUAUAUAUUUUGUAAACAAAUUUAGUUACUUUCUUUAAAUAGGAAAAUAUAGAUAAACCGGGUAAAUAAGUUUAACAUUUUUUCUUUGUGUGUGUAUAUAUAUAUAUAUAUAUAUGAACGUGCGUUGCACGUUAAUAAUGGCAUGUGAUGAUUUAAACAUUUAUUUAUAUGAAGGAGCAAUAAAAUUUAAUUAACGAGAGAAAUUUUAUCUAUAAUUAUACAACAAUCAUCUAAAUUCCAAAACUAUUAUUACAUUAGUAUAAUACAUAUUUAAAAUAAAAUGACACCAUCAAAACUUACACAAAUAAUCAAUUUUGUCAUUGUUAGAUAAUUAUAUAUUAUAGUUUAAAAGUAUUUAAUGCGAUGGUAUCUUAACGAACAAUUCUUUGUGGACAAUUUUUGUGUGUAUGUUUCCUCCUAAUGCAUUGGUUGCUCUGCCUUAACCAGAACUCUUAUUGUCGAUCUUUAUAUCCCUCUUGAAAGUGCAACAUACAGUUGUUCAUGCAAAAAAAUAUAUUUUUGAAACAAUAUUUAAGAUGUUUGUCGUUAUGCUUUAUUUAUUAUAUUUGUAAAACAUAAACAUACUAAAAAUUAUUUUCACACAAAUUAAAAAGGAUAUUCCUUAGUUUCGGAAGAUGAAAGUUGAAUUCAGGGAUAAAAAUAUACUUAGAAGCACAUUAACCAGUAUCAUAAUUUUUGUAUGUAUGACGUUAUUGUCAAAACUUUUAAAUACCAUAUGUGUGCUAUUACAUAUAUUACUCGGCGUAUCUAAUUUUUUUAGUAGCAUGACAUGCAUAUUUUUCUUCAAAAUUAACCAAUAUACAAUGUAAGAUCAAUUUUAACUUAUUCUAUUAUAUAUACGGUGAUACUAACAUACGUAAGAAAUAAGAAACUUGACAACAAACAUGUAUGGUAGAAGGCCAUUUGGUAUUAAAUUAUUUAAGUAUUCUUCUUGGUUGUAAUUAUUGGUAUCAUUUUCUGCUGAGUCAAAAAUUAAAAAAUAUUUUGUCUUUACUAUAAAAUUUUGCAAGCAAAUUUUUAUUUAGUUGAUCAACAUAUUCAUUUCUGCUAGCUAAGAUAGAUUUUUAAUUCUAUCAUGCGAUCUGCACAAAUUGCGUUUUAAUCGAAUGAUAGAAAUAUUUAUCUUAUUAAAUGCACUAUUAUUACCAUUUGGAUUGAUAACCAAGUGCUUAGAAUCAUCCUUUAUUGGAUGCUUCUCUUCGUUUCCGGCGCGGAGCAAGAAGACACUGAAUACUACAUCUGUUCUUACUUUAUAUUUCUUUUCAGUUGAAUCUUUUUUCGUUUGAGGCUAGAAGUAUAACUUUGGUAAGCUAGCUUUUACAAUCUCUACUUUUGUCGAUUUUGGAACUAUUGGUAGUACUUGACAGAAAUCACUUAUCAAACCAAUAAAUUUUUACCAAACGAUUCAUUAAUAUCUAAUAUAUCUCUAGAACUACGAUCAAUUAUUUUGAUCAUUUGACACUUAGCCAUACGUGCUUUAUCCCAUAUUAUCAAUUUUUCUUUCUUUAUAAAUUUAGCAUCAUUGCGCUGCUUUGAUAUAUUUAUGAUGGUUAUUUAAGUUGUUUGAAGAGAUUUAUCAAAUCUAAAGUGGAUGAUCUCACAAUAAAUUCAUUGUUGGUACAUCACUUGCUAUUAUUGCUAACAAUGUCAUACCUAUUGAUAUGAUAUUUACAAGUAAUGCAUGAUAUAGAAAUAUUAUUUCGAUUCCACCGAAGGCAUCUACGAAGAAUAAUCCCGUUAUAUCUGAGUUAGCUCUUUAUAAUAUAUCCUUGAAAGCUUGUUCUUGUCUAGGAUUUAACUUUGAUUGUGCUUCCUUAGACACUUGUAUAACAUUUUGAUUCUUAAUAAUAUACUAACAUUUUUACUUUGUUUUCUAACGCUCUUUUUAUGGGAUAGAUUUAUGCAACCUAAAUUUUUUUUAAAAAAAACUUGAAUAAGAAUUUUACUUAUAUGAUGAAUUUAAAAAAAUAAUUGAAUCGGAUUCUCUUGCUAAAUAAUUGUAACGACCCGACCGACCGUUUUGAGCUUUUGCACUUUGCUCUCCAGUUCUCGGGCAUGAUUUUCCACGUGUGGUGUAUUAUGACUUAUGUAAAUCGUUGGUGUUGGGUUUCAGGUUAAUCAGAAUGAAUUUGGAAGAACAGUCUCAGUUGAAAGCUUAAAAUUUGAAAGGUUUGACCAAGAUUUGACUUGUUUGUCUUUGAUCUCGGAUUGAAAUUUUUAUGAUUUGGUUAGCUCCGUUAGGUGACUUGGGACUUAGGAGCGUGAUCGGAAUGCAUGUUGGAAGUCCGUGGAAGGUUUAGGCUUGAAUUGGCGAAAUUGAGAUUUCGGCGUUUUCCGGUUGAUAGGUGAGAUUUUGAUAUAAAGGUCGGAAUGAAAUUCCGAGAGUUGCAGUAGCUUCGUUGUAUCAUUUGGGAUGUGUGCGCAAAAUUUCAGGUCAUUCGGACGAGGUUUGAUAGACUUUCUGAUCGAAAGCAUAAUUUAAGAGUUCUUCGAGUUCUUAGGCUCAAAUCCUAUGUUAAAUUGGUAGUUUGAUGUUGUUGUGAGCGUUCCGAAGUUUCCAACAAGUUUGAACGAUGUCAUGGAAUGUGUUGGUACAAUUGAUUUGAAGUUCUGAAAGUUCCGGGGUAGGUUCCGGGAUGUUUUAAGCCGAAAAUCAUAGCUGUAGCAUGUCCAGAAGGGUUGCAGGCCUCGGAACUCACCCGCGCGGUCCGCACAAAAUGAAGCGCAUCCAAGGUGAGUGUUGUACGGACCACACAAAAUGGUGUGCGACCGCGGUAGGUGCUGUGCGGACCGCACAAAAUGGUGUGCGGCCGCGGUGAAGAACAUUCCGCUGGUCCUACUUCGAAAGCUCAUAACUUUUGAUCUUCAAGGAAUUUUGAGAUGAUUUAAAAACAAAAUUUGUAGUCUUUCGUGUCUGAUUUCCAUAAAGAUAAAGAUAUCACAAUUUGGACAUCUGUAGCGAAAGUUAUGGUCAAAAUACUAAAGCCUAUCACUGUAGAGAAAAGCUUGUGCGGCCGCGGUCGUUUUUGUGCGUACCGCACUGGUUUUGUGCGGACCGCAGUCGAUUUUGUGCGGUCCGCGGAGGUGGAAAUCUGUGGGGUACUCCAUAAAUACGAUGUUUUGGGUUUUAUUUAAUAUUUUGACCUAGAGAACUCGGAUUUUGGCGAUUUUUUGAAGGUUUUUCAAGAAAUUCAUCGGGGUAAGUGAUUCUAGCUCAGAUUUGGCUAGGAUACAUGAAUCUAUCAUUGAAUUAAUCAUUUAAUCCGUUAUUUGGGAUGGAAUUUGGAAAGAAAAGUUGUGGAAUCUUCCAAAAAUAUAAAAUGAUAAUUUGAAGGACCAAAUGGUACCAGAAUUGGAUAAUUUUGGUAUGGUUAGACUCGUGAGGGUAUGAGGAUUCUGAAAAUGUUAAUUUUACCUGAUUCCGAGACAUGGGCCCGGGGAUUGGGUUUUGGUAAUUUCAGGAAUCGUUCCCUUUGUUGAUUGUUCUCGCUUGGGAUUUGUUCCCUUAGCGUAUUGUGACGUAUUCGUUCUGAUUUUGGAUAUUUUCGACGCGAGUGGAGGCCAAUUCGAGGGGCAAAGGCGUCGCGAGCUAGAGAAUUAGCUGGUUUGAGGUGAGUAAUGAUUGUAAAUGAUGUUCUGAGGGUUUGAAACCCUGGAUUUUCACAUCGUAGUGCUAUAUUGAGGUGAGGCACAUGCUUGAUGACGAGCGUGGGGUCGUGUACUUUUGGGGAUUGUGACUUGGUCCGUCCCGAUUGAUGAUUUUACCGCACAUUUGACUGAAACUUAUAUGUCAUCAUCAUGAUUUGGGCUGAUUGCAAUAUUUGGGCUUCGUGCUAACUAUUUGAACCCUUCGAGGAUUUUUAUUACUAUUUCCUCACUGUUUUGACUUACUAAUUGAACUCAGUCAUGUUAUUUUUCACUAUUUUACUACUCAGCCAUGUUCACUCCGUUUUGAGACUUAAAUGAUAUUUUAAAUGAUAUUUUGGGCUGAGAAAUACUAUUUUACUAAUGCCCGAGGGGCUUGUGAGUAUUUUGACUGAGUAAGGCCGAGGGCCUAAUUGUGAGGAAACAUUGAUACUGAUUUGAGGCCGAGGGCCUGAGGUAUGUACGCCACGAGGUGGCUUGUUGACAUUGUUUAUGAGGCCAAGGGUUUGAGAUAUAUACGCCACGAGGUGGCUUGACUAAUAUGAGGCCGAGGGCCUAGAUUUGAUGUCACGAGAUGGCUUGAUAUUGCGCUUGGGCCAUAGGGGGCCCCUCCCGGAGUCUAUACACCCCCAGUGAGUGUGAGUACCCAUUGUGAUGUGAGAUAUAGCCCGAGGGGUUGAUAUUGUUCUAUGUGAUUGCCCGAUGGGUUAUUAUUGUUCUGAGAUAUUGCCCGAGGGGCGGAGUUUUUGACAUUGUGCCCGAGGGGUGAACCUUUAUAUGUUUAUCUUUCAUAUUUACUUGUCAUUUACCUACCUGUUAAAUUAUAGUAUUUGUGCCCGAGAGGCAGAUUUCUGUGCUUAUCUGCACUAACUAUUUUUGGCAUUCAUUUGCGUAACUGUUGGAAAAGCCAUUUUCAAAGAAGUUUAAACUGAGCCAAAAUACUCUAAAGAGAUUUUUUAGAGCUUCACUGCUUUCUUACUAGUUUUGAACUGCUUCUAUACAACAUCUUGGUAUGCUUUACGUGAUUUCUUGCCUUCAGUCUUUAUUUAUUAUUAUUACUCACUGAGUUGAAGUACUCACUUUACUCCAUGCACCUUGUGUGCAAAUUUAGGUAUUUAUGCACCUGGUAGUGGGUUUUGGCUGAUCGGAGGCAGAGUCAUCGGAGUUUAGCAAGGUAGCUGCCGGCGUUCGCAUCAAUGCUUCUCUCUCUCUCUCUCUUUCUCCAUUUCAUUAGUCUGUAUUUGUAUACUUCAGAUUUUCAGUUGUAUUUAUACCCUAGUAGAUGCUCGUGACUGGUGACACCCCGGUUAGGGCUGUGUUGGGUUGUAUAUUCGCUGCUUAUUAUCAUUAAAUCAUGUUUAGACUGCUCUUAUAUUGUUUAGCUAUUUUAAAAAGUGAAUUGGGUCUAAUUGGCUAGCCUUGUCUUCACAAGAGGCGCCAUCAUGACCGGGUUCGGGGUUAGGGUCGUGACAAGUUGGUAUUAGAGCCUAGGUUACAUAGGUCUCACGAGUCAUGAG